UACAGAGGGUGCGAGCGUUGUCCGGAAUCACUGGGCGUAAAGGGCGCGUAGGCGGCUUAACAAGUCACUUGUGAAAUCUCCGGGCUUAACUCGGAACGGCCAAGUGAAACUGUCAAGCUAGAGUGCAGAAGGGGCAAUCGGAAUUCUUGGUGUAGCGGUGAAAUGCGUAGAUAUCAAGAGGAACACCUGAGGUGAAGACGGGUUGCUGGGCUGACACUGACGCUGAGGCGCGAAAGCCAGGGGAGCAAACGGG
rnacentral:rRNA from 1 species